CCUCCUUGUUCUCGGCCUGGUCUCUGUCCAAGGCUUUGGCUAUUACCCAGGUGGCGCUUCUUACGGUCUCGUUGGAGGCUUCGCCCCCGGCUACUUCGGUGGACAUGGUGGAUUUUUCGGUGGAAAGUACGGUGGACUCGGUGGACUCGGUGGAUACGGAGGUGGAUUCUUUGGUGGACUGAAAGGAUUUGGAGGUUACGGUCUGGGAGGUUACGGAGGUGUCGGAGUCGGAGGUCUUUAUGGAGGAUUUGGCCGCGGCUACGGGGGAUACCUCUCCUACUAGGAGACAGGCUUUCAUUUCAGAAGGGAAACAAGCAAGUAACUCCGCUGACUAGCCAAGAGUAUUUCCGCUUGUUUCAGCUCUGAAUAAAGCCAACAGAAAACGUUA